CUCUUUUGCAAUAUUUUACAUCGCUGUAUGAACAGGUGCUGCAGGAAGCGACACCAUCUAAGCGAUCCAAAUUACGUGAUGUCAUCGAGGGUGCUCAGAGUCCAGUUCCUGGGAGAGAAGCGAGGGUUAACAUCGUGCGGAACGGGUUGGUAGGGCUGCCGCGACUGUCCAGCGCUCCGGGUCAAAGGCAUUUUAACGGUACUCAUUGAGAUGCAGACUGCCGCCGUCUGCCAGCUGGGGCAAGAAUGAACGGAGAGGGAUGGAGAUGGGCGAAGAAACUUACUAAUGCGGCCUUUGUAACAUUCUGAGACAAAUUACUUCUUUUCGGGAUCAAGAGGGGAAGAGGGGGAAUUGCAUUUUAAUGUAGCUUAAGUAGAGAUUCAAUUACAUGGAAGAGGGAGGCACUUGAAGGUACAGCCUGUACCCAGUGAGUGUCGAGCCCCAGAUACACGGAAAGGCAUGUUCUUUGCAGCUUAAUUUAAUUUGCGACAGCCUAAGUUCACACCGUCGUGAAAGAUGUCACAGUUGCUGGUUUUUGCUUCCUUGAUGUCCGUGGACAGUUUAAGAAAUGAAACCCCGUGAACUGCCCUGGUAUAUUAAUUCACACCUUGUCACUUGAACGGGAUUGAAUUUGCAUUCGUGUUUCCUGAUACUACAGUAUGUCAAGCAUGUUCUGCCACAUAUGGAGCCACCGUACGAGAGCCGUUUACUGAAACCGGAUGCUGUCUGGAACUGGAGUAUAACCGAGCAAAGCAGCCAUGCCCUGGGUGCAACCAAAGCAUCAUGUGAUGCUGCUGCAGGGUAUCACAGAGAGCUCAGCGAAGAGGAACCAUUCUGCGUGGGAGACCGGCCUUGGUGUUAUGUUCAUGGACGUCCAUGGUUCUGAUCUGCGAAACUGUCAGCUCUGGGAUGUUAAAGAGCCCCGGCAUGUUCAACAUGUACUUUCUAAGUAGAUUUCACAGUGCCAGUUUCGAUCAGUACUGGGGCAGAUGCUUCUACCAUGCACAGUAUUACACGUAAACUCCUGUCAGAAUAACCUGCAGUAUAUUAGCCAAUAAAUGUCUGCAGACCUUUCUUAUUUAUCA
rnacentral:lncRNA from 1 species